AUCGAACGCUGGCGGCAUGCUUUACACAUGCAAGUCGAACGGCAGCGCGUGCUUCGGCCUGGCGGCGCGUGGCGAACGGGUGAGUAAUACAUCGGAACGUGCCCAGUUGUGGGGGGUAGCUCGGCGAAAGCCGGAUUAAUACCGCAUACGACCUGAGGGUGACAGCGGGGGAUCUUCGGGUCACGGGCUUAAGGAGCGGCCGAUGUCAGAUUUGACAGUUGGUGGGGUUAGGGCCUACCAAGGCGACGAUCUGUAGCUGGUCUGAGAGGAUGACCAGCCAGACUGGGACUGAGACACGGCCGAGACUCCUACGGGAGGCAGCAGUGGGGAAUAUUGGACAAUGGGGGCAACCCUGAUCCAGCCAUGCCGCGUGAGUGAUGACGGCCUUAGGGUUGUAAAGCUCUUUUCUCCGGGACGAUAAUGACGGUACCGGAGGAAUAAGCCCCGGCUAACUUCGUG
rnacentral:rRNA from 1 species